GUAACAAGGUCUCCGUUGGUGAACCAGCGGAGGGAUCAUUACCGAGUUUACAACUCCCAAACCCCUGUGAACAUACCACUUGUUGCCUCGGCGGAUCAGCCCGCUCCCGGUAAAACGGGACGGCCCGCCAGAGGACCCCUAAACUCUGUUUCUAUAUGUAACUUCUGAGUAAAACCAUAAAUAAAUCAAAACUUUCAACAACGGAUCUCUUGGUUCUGGCAUCGAUGAAGAACGCAGCAAAAUGCGAUAAGUAAUGUGAAUUGCAGAAUUCAGUGAAUCAUCGAAUCUUUGAACGCACAUUGCGCCCGCCAGUAUUCUGGCGGGCAUGCCUGUUCGAGCGUCAUUUCAACCCUCAAGCACAGCUUGGUGUUGGGACUCGCGUUAAUUCGCGUUCCUCAAAUUGAUUGGCGGUCACGUCGAGCUUCCAUAGCGUAGUAGUAAAACCCUCGUUACUGGUAAUCGUCGCGGCCACGCCGUUAAACCCCAACUUCUGAAUGUUGACCUCGGAUCAGGUAGGAAUACCCGCUGAACUUAAGCAUAUCAU
rnacentral:rRNA from 1 species